GAAUUUGGGACAAUGGGGGAAACCCUGAUCCAGCCAUCCCGCGUGUAUGAUGAAGNCCNNCGGGUNGNAAAGUACUUUUGGCANNNNNGAAAAGGUAUCCCCUAAUACGGGAUACUGCUGACGGUAUCUGCAGAAUAAGCACCGGCUAACUACGUGCCAGCAGCCUCGGUAAUACGUAGGGUGCAAGCGUUAAUCGGAAUUACUGGGCGUAAAGCGUGUGUAGGCGGUUCGGAAAAAAAGAUGUGAAAUCCCAGGGCUCAACCUUGGAACUGCAUAUUUAACCGCCGAGCUAGAGUAUGUCAGAGGGGGGUAGAAUUCCACGUGUAGCAGUGAAAUGCGUAGAUAUGUGGAGGAAUACCGAUGGCGAAGGCAGCCCCCUGGGAUAAUACUGACGCUCAGACACGAAAGCGUAGGGAGCAAACAGG
rnacentral:rRNA from 1 species